rnacentral:rRNA from 1 species
GACCGCGGUUACACGACAGACCCAAGAUAAUAGCACCGGCGUAAAGCACGACUAGAACAAUAUUACAGUAUGGGGAACGAAGCCAAACCGGGCUGUAAAAAGCCAUAAGCCUCACUAACACCCACCCCAUAUAAUACAAUUUCAACUCGUGAAAAUAGGAACA